GAUGAACGCUGGCGGCGUGCCUAAUACAUGCAAGUCGAGCGAACGGACGAGAAGCUUGCUUCUCUGAUGUUAGCGGCGGACGGGUGAGUAACACGUGGAUAACCUACCUAUAAGACUGGGAUAACUUCGGGAAACUGGAGCUAAUACCGGAUAAUAUUUUGAACCGCAUGGUUCAAAAGUGAAAGACGGUCUUGCUGUCACUUAUAGAUGGAUCCGCGCUGCAUUAGCUAGUUGGUAAGGUAACGGCUUACCAAGGCAACGAUGCAUAGCCGACCUGAGAGGGUGAUAGGCGACAUUGGAACUGAGACACGGUCCAGACUCCUACGGGAGGCAGCAGUAGGGAAUCUUCCGCAAUGGGCGAAAGCCUGACGGAGCAACGCCGCGUGAGUGAUGAAGGUCUUCGGAUCGUAAAACUCUGUUAUUAGGGAAGAACAUAUGUGUAAGUAACUGUGCACAUCUUGACGGUACCUAAUCAGAAAGCCACGGCUAACUACGUG
rnacentral:rRNA from 1 species